rnacentral:misc_RNA from 1 species
AAUGGAUAAGACCCGGUCUUAGUGUAUUGGUGUAUACGAGUUUUUUUGAAGUAAAAAGGAGCAAUAACGCCCCUCUUGUUUUAUCAAGAGGGCUGUAUUGCUCCUUUUUUAAUUUAGUAAAAUUUUCCAAGUUUUUCCAUUUAUUGAAAAAAAAAAAACGUCAUAUUUUUUGGUUGGUUUAUGCUAUAUUAAUAUAUAAUUUARAUAUAAUUWRCYWCCCUUAUUGAAUCYUUUUUAAAGGGGSGGGAUKGGCCAAUGGGAUCAGGGCUUGGAAUUGGGAAUCCCCCAGGGGCCCCAGUU